rnacentral:rRNA from 1 species
AUUGAACGCUGGCGGCAGGCCUAACACAUGCAAGUCGAGCGGAGCGGCGGCCGGGUGCGUAAUGCCUAGGAAUCUGCAUGGUAGUGGGGGAUAACGUCCGGUAACGGGCGCUAAUACCGAAUACUAUCAGAUGAGCCUAGGUCGGAUUAGCUAGUGUGGGGGGUAAAGGCAUACCAAGGCGACGAUCCGUAGCUGGUCUGAGAGGAUGAUCAGUAACAUUGGAAAUGAGACACGGUCAAGACUCCGACGGUAGGCAGCAGUGGGGAAUAUUGGACAAUGGGCGAAAUCCUGAUCCAGCCAUGCCGCGUGUGUGAAUAAGGUCUUCGGAUUGUAAAGCACUUUAAGUUGGGAGGCGUUACCAACAGAAUAAGCACCGGCUAACUUCGUGCCAGCAGCCGCGGUAAUAC